rnacentral:rRNA from 1 species
AUACGUAGGGGGCGAGCGUUGUCCGGAAUUAUUGGGCGUAAAGGGCGCGUAGGCGGGCAUAUAAGUCUGAUGUGAAAGUGCGGGGCUUAACCCCGUAAAGCAUUGGAAACUGUAUGUCUUGAGUACAGGAGAGGAAAGUGGAAUUCCACGUGUAGCGGUGAAAUGCGUAGAGAUGUGGAGGAACACCAGUGGCGAAGGCGACUUUCUGGACUGUAACUGACGCUGAGGCGCGAAAGCGUGGGUAGCGAACAGGAUUAGAUACCCUGGUAGUCCACGCCGUAAACGAUGAGUGCUAGGUGUAGAGGGUAUCGACCCCUUCUGUGCCGCAGUAAACACAAUAAGCACUCCGCCUGGGGAGUACGGCCGCAAGGCUAAA